AUGGAAAAAGGGCCAGAAGUGUUUCUCUGCCAAGUCAAUAACAUACUCAUGGAUGCUCCUGAGGAUUUUAAAACUCCUCCACAAAUACAGAUACUACUGUUCGAAUAUGCAGAUCUUUUUGAAGAACCUAAGACCCUAUCUCCUCAGAGAGCUCUAGACCACAAAAUUCCUUUAGUAGAAGGAGCCACACCACCUCAAGUCAGACCUUACAAAGUUCCUCAGCACCAAAAGAAAGAAAUGGAAGAGCAAAUAAAGAAACUGUUGGCUGCACAUUUGAUAAAGCACAGCCAAAGUCCUUUUGCUGCACCAGUUUUAUUGGUCAAGAAAAAAGAUGGAUCUAUGAGGUUAUGUACUGACUACAGAAAAUUGAAUGCCCUCACAAUUAAGAAUAAAUUUCCUAUACCAGUUAUAGAAGAUUUAUUGGAUGAGCUCCAUGGUGCUAAAUAUUUCACUAAAUUGGAUUUGAGGUCUGGAUAUCAUCAAAUUAGAAUGUGCCCUGAAGAUAUACCAAAGACUGCAUUCAGAACAUUUUUGGGACAUUUUGAAUAUUUGGUAAUGCCAUUUGGCCUUUCCAAUGCCCCUGGCACAUUCCAAGAGUUAAUGAACACAGUUUUUGCUCCUUACCUAAGGAAGUUUGUAUUGGUAUUUUUUGAUGAUAUACUAAUAUUCAGCAAAAGUCUCAAGGAGCACUUGGAGCAUAUCAAACUGGUAAUGGAGUUACUAAGAGAACAUCAACUCUAUGCAAAGAUGUCCAAAUGUGUUUUUGCAGUGCAGAAAGUAGAGUACUUGGGCCAUGUCAUUUCUGAGAAAGGAGUAGCAACAGAUCCACAAAAAAUUGCAGCUAUUGCAGAGUGGCCAAUUCCUGAAAAUAUUACUAAACUCAGAAGUUUUCUGGGAUUGGCUGGGUACUACAGGAGGUUUAUUAAAGGCUAUGGGGUAAUCUGCAGGCCUUUGCAUGAUUUGCUGAAGAAGGGGAAAUUCCAGUGGCAACCUGAACACAACACAACAUUCCAACACUUAAAACAAGCACUGACAUCAGCUCCUGUGUUGGCCUUGCCAGAUUUCACACAACCUUUUGUGUUGGAAACAGAUGCUUGUGGCAAAGGUAUUGGGGCAGUUCUCAUGCAACAGGGGAGGCCAAUAUCUUAUUACAGUUUUUCUCUCUGCCCUAGGAAUGCAGCUCUGUCUACAUAUGAAAAAGAGGCUUUAGCUAUAUUGGAAGCCCUUAAGAGAUGGAGGCACUAUUUACUGGGCAAGGAAGUGAUUAUCAGAACUGAUCAACAGUCACUGAAAUUAAUCACUGACCAGAAAAUCACUGAAGGAGUUCAACAUAAACUCAUGAUGAAAUUGCUGGAAUUUAAUUUCACAAUACAGUAUAAGAAGGGAAUCCAGAACAGGGUAGCAGAUGCUUUAUCCAGGCUACUCCCUCAGUGCAUGGCCAUAUCUUCUGUUACUCCUGUCUGGGCAGAAGAACUGAUAGAAAGUUACAAAAAGGACCCUGACAGGCUGCAGUUGCUGGAGAAGUUACUCCUUCAGAAAAACCAUACAUUGUCAGACUAUUCUUUAACAGAUGGCAUCAUCAGGCACAAAGGGACGAUCCUAGUGGGCAACAACCCUGACUUAAGAAUCAAGUUAAUCACAGCAUUGCAUAGCUCACCAGUGGGGGGCCACUCUGGCAAGAGAGCAACAUACCAGAGAAUAAAAAGUAUAUUCUACUGGCCUGGGUUGAAAGCUUCAGUGGAGAAUUUCAUUGCUGCAUGCCCCAUAUGUCAAAGAGCAAAGCAUGAAUCCUGCUUGCAACCUGGCCUCCUGGAGCCUCUACCUGUAGCUGACAUGGCCUGGCAGCACAUAUCCAUGGACUUUAUUGAGGGGCUGCCUAAUUCUCAGGGCAAGGAUGUCAUUAUGGUCAUUGUGGACAGAUUCACAAAGUAUGCACAUUUUAUUCCCUUAUCCCAUCCCUACUCUGUGCUCAGUGUAGCUCAAGCCUUUGUAGAUAACAUUAUCAAGUUGCAUGGCCCUCCCAAAAUGAUCAUUUCUGACAGAGAUAGGAUAUUCACUAGUCAGCUGUGGAAAGACAUUUUUUCUGCAUUAAAAGUGGAACUAAGGUACAACACAGCCUACCACCCACAAACAGAUGGUCAGACUGAAAGAGUUAAUCAGUGCCUGGAAACUUAUCUAAGAUGCAUGACCACCUCUGCACCUAAGAAAUGGCUGUCCUGGUUAUCUCUAGCUAAAUAUUGGUACAACUCUACCUACCACACAGCAAUAAAGAUGUCACCAUUCCAAGCCCUGUAUGGUUUCCCUCCACCACUUAUAUCAGAAUUGGCCAUUCCUGGUCCUGAUGACCCUGAAGCCCAAGACUUUCUGUCAGCAAAACAACAAAUGUUGCAACAGUUGAAGGCAAACUUGGUACUAGCUCAAAACAGAAUGAAGAAAUAUGCAGACACAAAAAGAGUUGAAAGAACUUUUCAAGUGGGAGAACCAGUCUAUCUCAAAAUGGCCCCUUAUAGACUGGCAACAUUUGGAUUCAGAGGAGCACUGAAAUUGCAAAACAAGUUUUAUGGUCCCUUCCUGGUGAUUCAGAAGGUGGGAAAUUGUGCCUGCAAAUUGCAACUGCCAAGUUCAGUGCAAAUACACCCAGUCUUCCAUGUAAGUCAGUUAAAAAGGCAUGUGGGGGACAAAUCAAUUCCAGGACCUAAUCUACCAUUGGUGAAUGCGGACGGGACAGUUAAAACAGGACCAUCUGAAGUACUACAGGUGCGCCAAAUUCCCCGCAACAAUGCACCAGUUGUCCAGUGGCUUAUCAAGUGGAUCAACCUGUCUGUUGAAGAUGCAACAUGGGAAGACGCUGAUUUCAUUAAGUAUACAUUCCCGGAUUUCUUCAGCGCCACUACGCGCGCGUGGCGAGGCAAAUCAGCAGCGCCGUGA
rnacentral:rRNA from 1 species